GUAGGUGGCAAGCGUUGUCCGGAAUUAUUGGGCGUAAAGCGCGCGCAGGCGGUUCUUUAAGUCUGAUGUGAAAGCCCACGGCUCAACCGUGGAGGGUCAUUGGAAACUGGAGAACUUGAGUACAGAAGAGGAAAGCGGAAUUCCACGUGUAGCGGUGAAAUGCGUAGAGAUGUGGAGGAACACCAGUGGCGAAGGCGGCUUUCUGGUCUGUAACUGACGCUGAGGCGCGAAAGCGUGGGGAGCAAACAGGGAUUAGAUACCCUGGUAGUCCACGCCGUAAACGAUGAGUGCUAAGUGUUAGGGGGUUUCCCGCCCCUUAGUGCUGCAGCCAACGCAUUAAGCACUCCGCCUGGGGAGUACGGCCGCAAGGCUG
rnacentral:rRNA from 1 species